UUUAAUGGAUGAGCAAAGAAAGUGGUUUCUUGUGAUGGAAAUCUACUCCUGGUGAAGAUGCUAUGAU
rnacentral:pre_miRNA from 1 species